GGCUCGAUAGCUCAGUUGGUAGAGCAAAGGACUGAAAAUCCUUGUGUCGCCGGUUCGAUUCCGGCUUGAGCCACCA
rnacentral:tRNA from 1 species